AUUAAGGUCUAACCUGCCCAAUGAGGAUUUAAAUGGCCGCAGUAUUUUGACUGUGCAAAGGUAGCAUAAUUAUUAGUUUUUUAAUUGAAAGCUUGUAUGAAGGGUUGGACGAGAUAAAAUCUGUCUUUAUUUAAAUUAAAGUAGAAUUUAACUUUUAAGUCAAAAGGCUUAAAUGUUAGUAAAAGACGAGAAGACCCUAUAGAUCUUUAUUUAAUUAUUAUUUUAAUAAUUUAGGAUUAAUUUAAUUUAAAGUUUUAAUUAAAUUUUAUUGGGGUAAUAUAAAGAUUAAAUAAAUUCUUUUUAUUUAUUACAUUGAUUUAUGAAUAAAUGAUCCAAUAUUAUUGAUUAUAAGAUUAAGUUACCUUAGGGAUAACAGCGUAAUUUUUUUGGAGAGCUCAUAUCGAUAAAAAAGUUUGCGACCUCGAUGUUGGAUUAAAAAUUAGCUUGGGUGCAGAAGCUCAAGAAUUUGGUCUGUUCGACCAUUAAAUUUUUACAUGAUCUGAGUUCAGACCGGCGUAAGCCAGGUCGGUUUCUAUCUUUAUUUAAUUAAAAUAUUUUAGUACGAAAGGACCAAAUAUUUGAUAUAAUUAUAUUUAUUUUUUGAAUAAUAUU
rnacentral:rRNA from 1 species